AGCUUUGCGCAGUGGCAGUAUCAUAGCCAAUGAGGUUUAUCCGAGGCGUGAUUAUUGCUAAUUGAAAAAAAAGGAAAAAAAAAACUUAAUUUGGGGGCUGGAGAAAUGGCUUAGCACUUAAGACACUUGCCUGCAA
rnacentral:snRNA from 1 species